AAAAAAAAUAGCCCGACGGUGGGAAUCGUAACCCUAAUCGGCCGAUGUCAACAUCCGGGCAACAGCAGUUCCGGUACACGCAGACACCGUCGAAAGUUCUUCACCUCCGGAAUCUUCCAUGGGAUUGCAGCGAUGAAGAGCUAGUAGAGCUUUGCAAGCCCUUUGGUAAAAUUGUCAAUACAAAGUGUAACGUCGGGGCCAAUCGCAACCAAGCGUUUGUCGAAUUUGCUGACCUUAAUCAGGCAAUCAAUAUGGUUUCAUAUUAUGCUUCAUCUUCAGAGCCUGCUCAAGUUCGUGGCAAGACGGUGUACAUUCAAUAUUCUAAUAGGAAUGAAAUUGUCAAUAAUAAGAGUCCGGGAGAUGUUCCAG
rnacentral:misc_RNA from 1 species